CUUAAAAAUGUCCUUUUUUUGUAAUGUUUCGAGCUGCAUUUAAAAACUCUCCAACCAUCGCACAUGCAAAGAAAAAGGUGAAGUGAAUCUCAAAUCAAACCAGGAUGUCUUGUCAACACUUGUAACACACUUGGUCAAUUUUUCAAAAUGCAAGCCUGCAAACGUUUUCUCUGUUUUGAUGUAGAUUUUCCUGAGGACAGUGAACGCUCAUAUGGAUAACAGCUGAGGAGAGUAUUCCAUCUCAGAAGGAAUCUUUUAAAACAAGGAAUUUGUUUCGCACUCAUCUGUAAUAGAGGUCAAACUUCAAGGUGCAUUACGGUGACAUUUGCAUGUUUAAAAUGUCAGUUUAAAGCACGCAAAGCACAACAACUUGCAGAUGAGAACUGCAAAUAUCUGCAGAAUACUCUUGCACAUAUUUAUAUUUAGUUUUAAUUUACAGGACGGUAAAGUGGACAGAGCAGAACAUGAGACAGGAGAGAGUGGGACAGUAGCUGCAAGCUUAACCUCGGGGUGCAUGCUCAGACAUCUAGUCCAUAUGCACCUUAAUCUUGUAUUACUAACACAUUUCUACAAAUUGCUCGUAAUCCAGGUCAGAACCUCCGUCAGGUUCUGGUUGCAGGAAACGGACUUCUUUAAAACUGCAGUUACAACCUUCAAAAAUUGAAUCUAAUCAAAUUUUGUGUCUUAUUUCUAUUAAACCAACAUCAUAUUUGACUCAAUGUAAGCCACGUUCACAUUACAGGUCCAGAAAAUGUGAUAUUUCAAUACAUAACACCAAAAACAAGACCGAGAUCGCUUGUAAUGGGUUAAAAAAAAUUGCCAAAACUUUACUUCUUAACACUCAACGUUUCUCUGGACUUUUCAGGUAAAUGAGGCAUAAGUUAAUCCCUGAAAAGACACGCUCAAGAAUUUAUAUGUUAACACUCACUAAGAUCUGAGUUUAGUGCAGUUUCCUAUGAGGCCUGUUUGUUUUCAUGACAUUUGAAAUAAAAACCAUGAAAGAGUGAGGUUUUGAUUGAGUUGAAUAACAGUAACGUCAAUAAAAAGUGAGAAAAUCUCAACCUUAAGGUACAGUUAUAUGAGAUUUAGCGCACUAUGAAAGUCCAAAUUCUGAAUCACAAGAUUUAUUAGUGAAAAAAAAGUUUAGACGUGCAAAACAAGUUUGUGGGUCACAUUUACGUCAUUGCAUUUGUGCGUCAUUGUGCGCAGAUAAAUAAGAUGGAAGUUCGAGUUUGGGAUUCCAGUCCAGAUGGGAGCUCAGGUCUCUGUGCGUAAACCAGUCCGGUCUCUGGUCCCAGGAGGACAGUCGCUGGCGUGCUCUGGUUUACCAGCGUCCCCUCCAGGGCUGAGAAUCAGCAGGCAGGAAUGUGCUGUGAGCGGGCCCAGUGACGCUAAUCCCGGGCAAAGUUGUUCUUUUUUCUUCUCUCCUCCUUCUCACAAGAUUUCCUUAAUCGGAUAAUCCACGUCUCAUUAAACCGGCCCAUCGUGGAUUCAGUCCGGCAGGGAAAGAAAUGCUGAAUCUGAGCUGGGUCAUCCAUGACAGAGGGACAACCACCGCUUCAGCGCCCUGAAUAGGGAGGUGGAUUUAUUCAUCAGGCUGUGGUGUCUUGGCAUGUUGCAUGAUGGUUCACGUGUGUGCGUGUGUUUGUGUGUUUUAGUGUGUUUCCGAAUAAGUGUAUAUGUUUGCAGGCUUGUGAUUGUACACUUGUGUGUGGGAAACCCAGGAAAUCCAGGCUCCCAUGCGCCAGCAUCCAUUGUGUUUAGCUUCCUCCUGUGUGCUAGUGUGUGUGUGUGUGUGUAGCUGCAGUGCUUCCCUCUCUCGUGGCUCUAAUGAGAAGCCGGAGGAAACCGGAGGAUUGCACUUGGCAAAGUAAACUGAAACACUCUGAUGAAUGGAUCAGGGGAGCUGUGUUUGCAGGAUUUACUUUGAUUAAGUCCACGCCGAAGUUCACCAUCAUCCAAGUUCACUCUUACUUUCUGUUCGCUCCUCCUUUUUUCCCUCCAUCAGAUCUGUGCCUGAGGAUCCUCUCUGCUGACAAUAGGACAGUGUGUCCAGAACAUCCACGACAAAGACUGCAGAUCAUAUCGUGAGUGGAAGAGCGACAACCUGAUGAACUCUCUUUGUGAUGGUGCGUCAUUGACUCCACUUGGCUCAGUUUCACUUUACGAUUAACUCCAAAGUCCCCAUGAGGGAAAAAUAAUCGUCACAGUGCAUUUUUCACAGAUGACUACAAGGACUGGAUGAGCUUCAAAUGAAAUGUUGAGCCGCCAGAAUGUAGGUCUUGCACCUCAGUCAGCUGACUCAUAAAGUUCCCUAAUUUGUCCCUAAAGGUGAUAGAAACCUGCCUCUGAUUGUCCUGUUUUUUCAGCAUUCCAACCACAAUCACCACCAAAUUCCACCACAUGUGGAAUGGCAGCAAAAAGGCUGUCGUUGAUCGCCGCUGAUUGUUUCCAUUCAAGUUAAUGUGUCAAAUUCCACCGGUUUCUUUCCAGCCCCCUGCGGUUCAGUGGGCUCGAUCGCCAGAGUUCUGUUUUUUCCGGACGCCGCAACAUGCCACAUCAAUUCAGCACAGAUUAGCCCAUGCUGGAAAGGAAGUCGGACACAGACACAAAAUUAAACAUCCAACAUGACGUGUUUCAGGCGGAUCGUAUUUCACACCAUGCAAACGUGGGUAUGGACGAACAAGUGAAAGGUUUUCAGACGUCAUUUCACCCUGUUGGCAAUAUGGAUGAUGAGAUGCUAAUUCUGGAAGUCCAAAAUCACGUAAUAAUCGAUGACCUGUCUCAUCCCUUAUAUAAGUACAAUCAUAAAAAGAAUAUGACAUGGGAUUCCAUAGCCAAUUGAUAUCGCGCAAUUGCAUGUGAAUUUGCAGAUUCUUGUGAGUCCUCAUGAUUCCCACUGUCUGAAAUUUGCCAUGAAAUUUGCCUCAUAAACGUAUCUGGUAGGAUUUGGCAGACAGUGAAAAUCGCUGCCAUUCUGCAUUCAGUGGAGUUUGUGGGUAAGGGUGCACAGGGUGGACUUAUGGUGCGUUUCAGUUACCAGAAGUCAGAAGUCGGAGCUGAAAAUGUCAUCACACCCUAGUGCCCAGCGUUUCAGAUACCAAGUUGGAAAAAAGCAAAAUCGGAGGCAGAAACAAGAUAGAUACAUCUACGAAAGUUAUUUAAGUGCUUGCCUUUGUUCAAAUAUAAGGCAAGCACUUCAGGCCUCCGAUUUUUCUUUUUUCCGACUUGGUAACUGACCUCUGAGGUAACUCAAACGCAGCAUUAGUGUCUUAUCCUCAUACAGUUUGUCUUGUUAGUAGCAGGUGCAGGGAAUCCAACUUGGGUCUUCGCACCAAAACCUCACUAACUCUCAUGCACACCUUCCUUCCCUCCACGAUAACACGAGCGUUGAAUCAGUCCUGCCGAUGAGACCAUCAUUUCCUGAAAGUUGCCCAAAACUGUUCACGAGUCUCCGGAUAAUCUUUUCCUGGAAAAACUGUCUGAUGUUCUUUAAUUUGUCUCAUUUUUAUCUGGUUCAAAGCACAGACUUUCAAAAUCAGGGCGAAUAAUCCCCAAACUCUCCGUGCGCAGGGCGGGAUGCCAGCAGCAAGGAGAGAACAGGAAAAUAAAGUCCUUGUGUAAUUUUAACGAUGGGAUGUCCCGUGUCUGUCUGCACAUGUCUGCAGUCUGUAGGUCAGAGCAUUGUUACCCAGACCUGUUUUCCACGGGUUUAUCUCAGGUCACUCUGUUUUGGAGGUUAUUAUGACAUUCUCUCUCUGUUUUAAGGUGUUUUCUCUCGGCUCGUCACAUUCCAUCUGCGUGGAUGUUCAGAAGAGACCAAACAUUCAGGAGCAGUAACACAAGGUUAGCGAGGGUCACCGCUGUUCUUACACAACAUGAAGUUCACUGACCCUGUGAGUAUCUGUGCAGCAAAACACAAGGUUGAAAACAGAGAAUAACACCGCCGCUGCAGCGGGGAAAUCCUUCAUGAAAAACAAUCCGGAUCCAGGAGUCUGUGUUCUUGGCUCUGGUCGGAGUCCUCGAAGAAGCUCAGAAGUGUUUCUGAAAUUCUUGGAAGAAUGUCUCAGCUCCGGACAAUCGUAGCACAUCUGAGAGCUUUAAUCCUUGCAUCUGGGUUAGAUUAGACGGAGAAUUCGGUGAAUCAGGUUGAAUCAUGUGUGCUCUCCUCUGCGGCUGACAUUGUGAUGGUUUUUGAAGACCUCAUGUGGAGAUGUGAACCUGUAACUGCCAAGAUUUUACAGAGGAGAACAUAACAAUAAAGGAGUGGGGAGCAGCUAACGGUCGAUGAUUGUGUUUACGGACGAUUUAAAGGACAGUUACAGAUGUUGUCAAAAAUAAUGUUUUUAGGACUUCUUGUUUUAAAGAAAUUGCAAAACUUGUCUAAAAUCUUGACAUUCAACUCUGAUUCUACGAUAGAUGGUUGAUGAAAACAGAAUAUGACAGUUCACACAUCUUAUGGAAAAUACACGCUCAUCGUAGAUUUGGUGCCAGCAGCGUUUUCUUUCAACAACCCGUGUAAAUUUUUAAGGAACCUUGGAGACUCAGAAGUGUUGUUUCAAUCUUUACUGCCAUGAUGCACUAAAUGUUUUCAAAGGGGGACAAGUCAGGACUGCAUCAGGCCAGUUCAGCAGCAGGACUCUUCUACCACAGAGCCAUGCUGUUGCAGUAAGCGGUUUGGGAUCAUAUGAAGGUCUUCUGGUCAAGAUGGCAGCAGAUAUUGCUCCUAAAUUUGUAGACAUUGUUCAAAACUGAGGGUGAAGCAUCUAUGUUUUCCAGUUCUUUGUUGAAAGGACAACUGGACUUACAUCUCAAGUAAGUCCAGUUGUCCUUUCCAACAAAGCGUUAGAUUUUGAUUCACCAGACCUCGGGACAGUUCAUGGACAAGUGAUAUGAAGCCAUGCAGUGACUCCAACUACAGAGUCUUAAUGCUACAAAACCUGAAGAUAUUGUUCCGGAUUAAUGGAGUCUUCACAGAUGACCUGAGGCCUCAUUUAUAAAGCUUGCUUACGCACAAAACCUGGCUAGAAAUUGCUUACGCCACUUCUUACGCAAGAGUUGGGAUUUAUAAAAGAAAAACUAGUGUAGGAAUGUGCGCAACUUUAAGCAAACUCCACACCUUGCUUACGCACUUUUUGGAGACAAUCGGAGCAAGGUGAGAAUAGUCCGGGUGAUGCGUUCAGCACAACGGAUGACUCGAUGCAGCCUUUCUGUCCUGCAAGCUGCAGCUGCCGUACCAGGCAGUGAUGCUCGCAGAAAGCAUAGACCCCACUGUGGCGGUGUAGAUAGUUUGCCAAUUUGAAUUUACAAAUGUGCAAAAAAACAAAUUCCAUUUACAUGCAUUUGUUUUAAGAUUAAUAUGACUAAAUCUUUUUGGUUUACGAACUUUCACCACAUAAGCAGCGGUGGAUAACGGAGCGGUUUUUUUUUUUAACACAUGCACGAGUGUCACACGUGCUUGUUUUUUCUGAUCCUCACCUGUCGCCGCCACGCUCUGAUGGUGUAAAGCCACUUUUUUCUUUGCCUCCACCUUUAGAUCGGACCACUUCUUCUUGAUUUCGGCACAGUUUUGUUUUCGUCAUCGUCGACGAAAACAAAACUCCACGUGUUUGCGCGCGCGUGCGUCUGUGUGUUGGAGGAGCACAGCAGGCUGAUGAGAGCUGUCAGAGCGGACAGAAGCUGCUCCUGUAUGUUUAGCGUUUAACUGACUGAGUUUUGCAACUCUGGUCGUCAUUUUCGUCUCGUCCCAUCAACGUAAACACACUUUCGUCUCGUCACAUUUUAGUCAUCUCCGACUUAUGUUUAGCUCGUCAACGUUACGUCUUCGUCGUGGAAGAAAAGGGAAAUAUUUCCGUCAACAAAAACAACCAGUGUUGUUCUCGUUGAUGAAAAUAUUUCGUUUUGACGCUGGUGUUGACGAAAAUAUUUGACGAAAUAUGACGAAAACAACACUGUUUCGGCAACGCUGCGCUCAGUGCCAGCCGCAAUUGCCACCACGGCAACGGCGUUUUUAUUGGUGAUGCCACUCGAAUGGCCGCCGAAUAAGGUCUCCCAUCUCGCCGCCACCUCAUUUACAAGAACCUCCACCUCGAUCUCUGAAAAGUUUCUUUUUCUACGACUUGCUGAUGCCAUGGUUAAGCGUGAAAUGCCGUGGAUCCACCAGGCUUAUUUACAUGCAAAUCACAUUCAUGAGGUAAUUUGCAUGACCAUACAUGGUGAAUUUUGGGUGUGGAGAGGGCGGGGAAGAAUCAAAUCCCUGCUGCGCAACUUUCCAGCUGGUCUGUGAUUUAUAAAGGGAAAGUGCGCGCAGGCGUGCGUAGGCAGGGUUUUAUAAAUCAGAUUUUUUUUUUGCCUACGCACUUUACAGCUUUUCAACUUACGUACACUUUUAGUAUGGAUCCUACGCCAGGUUUUAUAAAUGAGGCCCCAGGACUCUGAUGAUCCCGAACUAACACAGAUUCUGUUUAGCAUGUUAAAGGAAAGUUUCCCAGUUUUCAAGAGGUCCAGGAUCAUGUUGCUAUUUGGUUUCUUCUUUGUAUGGUACAGUUUUAACCCACGUUUGAGGACACAGCAACAAACUACAUACACUGGUGAUAGUUUUCCUUUAUUUUUGCACAUUCAAGUUUCAUGUCAUGUAUUUCCUGUUUAAUUUUGUAGUUCUCUAACUCUUGUUCCUUGUCAUCUAGAUUUGUUCCUGUCUGGUCUGCCCUCCCCCCGUUUUGUCACACCUGCUGCCUGAUUGUGUCUCCCCACCUGUUUCCCAUCACCCUCAUUACCUCUUGUAUUUAACCUUGUGUGUCUGCCUCACGUUUUUGGAAACCUCUGCCUGGUCUGACUGCCUUUUGUGUAACGAUCUCUCCCUGAGAUUUAAUAAACCCU